rnacentral:misc_RNA from 1 species
UCCUCCCGGCCGCAAGGCCAUUUCAAGACUCCCUCGAAAGACUCGCCCCUCGCGUCAUCCGCGGGGGCUUUUUUGUUGCGUAU